rnacentral:rRNA from 1 species
GACGAACGCUGGCGGCGUGCCUAAUACAUGCAAGUUGAGCGCUGAAGGCUGGUACUCGUACCAACUGGAUGAGCAGCGAACGGGUGAGUAACGCGUGGGGAAUCUGCCUUUGAGCGGGGGACAACAUUUGGAAACGAUUGUUAAUACCGCAUAAAAACUCUAAACACAAGUUUUAAGUUUGAAAGAUGCAAUUGCAUCACUCAAAGAUGAUCUCGCGUUGUAUUAGCUAGUUGGUGAGGUAAAGGCUCACCAAGGCGAUGAUACGUAGCCGACCUGAGAGGGUGAGCGGCCACAUUGAGACUGGGACACGGCCCAAACUCCUACGGGAGGCAGCAGUAGGGAAUCUUCGGCAAUGGACGAGAGUCUGACCGAGCAACGCGGCGUGAGUGAAGAAGGUUUUCGGAUCGUAAAACACUGUUGGUAGGGAAGAACGUUGGUGAGGGUGGAAAGCUCAUCAAGUGACGGUAACUACCCAGAAAGGGACGGCUAACUACGUG